AUGCUUACAUUAAAAAAUGAUAAAUGUCUCUAGAUUUCUUGUGCUUUUAGUAACACUAACACACAUUUUGAAGAGAAUAGAUUGCUUUAUUUUUAAUCCCAUCAUCUGUCUUUAACAAACUCUUACCAACAAAAAAUGGUUUGCAAGUGAAACAGACAUUAGGCAAAACCAAAAAGAAAAAAGCCUCAAUUUCCCGCAGCCUGAACUAUGGGUGAUUCUGAAAUAACCUAAUUCAGCUUUGCCUUUUAAAAGUAAAAAUUAGCACACGCAUUUAUAAAAUAAACUUGGAGACAGGGGAUCUUCUUCUGGGUAAUAAGCCCUUUUGAAACAAUAUACGAUUAAAUUUCACAAAAUCACAAUUUCUAAAAUAAAAGAGAACAAGAACACUAAAACAUGUUUUCAAGUGCUGCUUAGGUUAAAUGCCUGUCUUAAACUAGACAAUUAUCUUCAAUAUCCAAAUCAUUAAAACUGGAAUGUUGUGCUGCAAGUGUUCAAAGUGGAGAAAUUACCACUUCUCAUGGCUAUCUACCAGAAAAAUUAUGGGAGACUCUCAAGUAGAUCUUAACAUUUAAUGACAACAACAAAGGCUAAUAGUAAUAUUAUUUCACCAACCAUUUUAAAAAAUGCGCAUCCCCUUUCUAUAGCUCCUCUGAACUUCAAUAUUAUGCCUCUUCAAUGCUAUUUUAAUGCGUAGGGUUAAAGAUAUAAAUUUAAAAUUUAAAAUCUAAGAGAACAAUCCAUGUAAUAAAAUCUUCGCCUUUCACAAAACGUUUUCAUUUUAAGAAUGCUCAGAAGAGUUAAGUAAACGUACCACACAUUCUAAAUUAGACAAAAAUUUUCAGAAAACUGACAUUUUAUGUACCCAACAGGUCCAAACAGAACCAAUGCAAAGGUCAAUAGCUCUCUCUCUUCCGGAAGAUACUUAAAUGGUUUUACUAGUACCCAAAGGAAUGAAAUCAGCAACUCCCUCCACACACUAAUCAACACUCCAAUUUUCAAAGCCGAAAUUUGAAAACGUCCGUUUGGGAGGGAAACAGUGGGGGGGUCUUGAAGUAAUAAAAAAAAAAUCCCCUUUCUUCUCUGACAGUCUACCCAAAGCUGUCAAACCCAAUUUAGCCUAUUGUAAAGCACUAGAACCUCCCUUCCAAGGACGCGAGACACAAACACAGAUACCGCUGCAAAAAGCUGCCCCAAAGCGCCUGGUCGGACAGAAACGUAAGGGGCCCAAAUAAGAACGAAUUAGAACCCUCAAGAGGGUCUGCAGAGACAGCGAGAUUAAGGUGGCAUUUAUUCAGUGGUAGACAACGAACCAAAGAAAGUUGUCCCAGUCGGACUCUUGGGCCUUUCUCUAUCCAAGUUCAGGUUCAAGGUAGAUAGAUCUGCGGGGGUGGGCGGUCCCUGGGUCCUUUCCCCUACACACAUCUCACCCGCCUCUGGAGCCCACUGUUGCUCAAAGCGAAGCCCCUCCGGCUUCACAACCAUUCCUUUGGCCCCCAUCAAAGGCAGAGGAGGCUGUUGAGCUGACCUAGCUCUGUGGGGCAGCAAAAAUGCCUUGCGCGGGCCACCCAUCCUUGGGCCUGGCUUCAUCUGCGAUGUCAGCAUGAAUGUUAUUAUUUUUCAUUUUUACAACGAAUCCUGGGCGGGUGUAUGUAUUACGGGGGGAGGGGGGAGGGAAGGGGGGAGGUUGAACACAGGAGAGGAGGGGUUGGUAGCGGAGCCUAGAACCCUCCUUCCCCUCCCCUUCUGCCAGGGUUGCUGUGCAGGGAGUGCCGGCCACGUUUGGCGCACUGUCCCAGGCCCCGGGCGAAGGUGGCCAGGGAAAAUAGGGCUUAGGGAUUGCUAAGCAAACGGGCACCACUGGUGGUCUCCAGUGCCUGCGGAGUAGGUAUUGCCUGCUAUAUCAGGACUAGUUUUGGGACCCACCACUGUUUAUGAUAUUCACCACUAUAUGAUCAAGGAGCUGCUGAAGAGACUCUGACUCCUGGAUAGCUUCCUCCAAGUGGGGGCUUUUUCUUCCUAUCAUGCAGAACACUUCAAGAAAAUGAGAAAACAAGCCACACACUGGGAAAAAACAUUUGCAAGACACAUAUCUGAUAAAGUAUUGGUAACCCAAAUAUGUAAAAGACUCUAAGAAAACAAGCAAUCCAAGAAAGAAAAAAAUGG